GAUGAACGCUGGCGUCGUGCCUAAUACAUGCAAGUCGAGCGAACAGACGAGGAGCUUGCUCCUCUGACGUUAGCGGCGGACGGGUGAGUAACACGUGGAUAACCUACCUAUAAGACUGGGAUAACUUCGGGAAACCGGAGCUAAUACCGGAUAAUAUAUUGAACCGCAUGGUUCAAUAGUGAAAGACGGUUUUGCUGUCACUUAUAGAUGGACCCGCGCCGCAUUAGCUAGUUGGUAAGGUAACGGCUUACCAAGGCAACGAUGCGUAGCCGACCUGAGAGGGGAAUCGGCCAACUUGAAAUGAGAAACGGUCCCAACCCCUAAGGGGGGCAAGAGGGGGGAAUUUUUGCCAAAGGGGGAAAACCCGAAGGAGCCAAGGCGGGGGGGUGAAGAAGGUUUUCGGAUUGGAAAACCCUUUUAGUUGGGAAGAAAGAAAGUAAGAUAAAACCUUGCUGUUUUGACGUGACCAAAAGAAGAAGCCCCGGCUAAAUUCGGG
rnacentral:rRNA from 1 species